AGUGAACGCUGGCGGUAGGCCUAACACAUGCAAGUCGAACGGCAGCACAGUAAGAGCUUGCUCUUACGGGUGGCGAGUGGCGGACGGGUGAGGAAUACAUCGGAAUCUACUUUUUCGUGGGGGAUAACGUAGGGAAACUUACGCUAAUACCGCAUACGACCUACGGGUGAAAGCAGGGGAUCUUCGGACCUUUCGCGAUUGAAUGAGCCGAUGUCGGAUUAGCUAGUUGGCGGGGUAAAGGCCCACCAAGGCGACGAUCCGUAGCUGGUCUGAGAGGAUGAUCAGCCACACUGGAACUGAGACACGGUCCAGACUCCUACGGGAGGCAGCAGUGGGGAAUCUUGGGCAAUGGGCGCAAGCCUGAUCCAGCCAUACCGCGUGGGUGAAGAAGGCCUUCGGGUUGUAAAGCCCUUUUGUUGGGAAAGAAAAGCAGCAGGUUAAUACCCCGCUGUUCUGACGGUACCCAAAGAAUAAGCACCGGCUAACUUCGUG
rnacentral:rRNA from 1 species